rfam:Pristionchus pacificus strain PS312 contig1737, whole genome shotgun sequence.
AGGGGUAUAGCUCAGUGGUUAGUGCACCCGCAUACGUAUCGGAAGGUCGGGGGUUCGACUCCCUCUGCCUCCA